UGUAUAAUGGGUCAGCGACUUAUAUUCUGUAGCAAGGUUAACCGAAUAGGGGAGCCGAAGGGAAACCGAGUCUUAACUGGGCGUUAAGUUGCAGGGUAUAGACCCGAAACCCGGUGAUCUAGCCAUGGGCAGGUUGAAGGUUGGGUAACACUAACUGGAGGACCGAACCGACUAAUGUUGAAAAAUUAGCGGAUGACUUGUGGCUGGGGGUGAAAGGCCAAUCAAACCGGGAGAUAGCUGGUUCUCCCCGAAAGCUAUUUAGGUAGCGCCUCGUGAAUUCAUCUCCGGGGGUAGAGCACUGUUUCGGCAAGGGGGUCAUCCCGACUUACCAACCCGAUGCAAACUGCGAAUACCGGAGAAUGUUAUCACGGGAGACACACGGCGGGUGCUAACGUCCGUCGUGAAGAGGGAAACAACCCAGACCGCCAGCUAAGGUCCCAAAGUCAUGGUUAAGUGGGAAACGAUGUGGGAAGGCCCAGACAGCCAGGAUGUUGGCUUAGAAGCAGCCAUCAUUUAAAGAAAGCGUAAUAGCUCACUGGUCGAGUCGGCCUGCGCGGAAGAUGUAACGGGGCUAAACCAUGCACCGAAGCUGCGGCAGCGACGCUUAUGCGUUGUUGGGUAGGGGAGCGUUCUGUAAGCCUGUGAAGGUGUACUGUGAGGUAUGCUGGAGGUAUCAGAAGUGCGAAUGCUGACAUAAGUAACGAUAAAGCGGGUGAAAAGCCCGCUCGCCGGAAGACCAAGGGUUCCUGUCCAACGUUAAUCGGGGCAGGGUGAGUCGACCCCUAAGGCGAGGCCGAAAGGCGUAGUCGAUGGGAAACAGGUUAAUAUUCCUGUACUUGGUGUUACUGCGAAGGGGGGACGGAGAAGGCUAUGUUGGCCGGGCGACGGUUGUCCCGGUUUAAGCGUGUAGGCUGGUUUUCCAGGCAAAUCCGGAAAACUAAGGCUGAGGCGUGAUGACGAGGCACUACGGUGCUGAAGCAACAAAUGCCCUGCUUCCAGGAAAAGCCUCUAAGCAUCAGGUAACCAUCAAAUCGUACCCCAAACCGACACAGGUGGUCAGGUAGAGAAUACCAAGGCGCUUGAGAGAACUCGGGUGAAGGAACUAGGCAAAAUGGUGCCGUAACUUCGGGAGAAGGCACGCUGAUAUGUAGGUGAAGCGACUUGCUC
rnacentral:rRNA from 1 species